GUCUGCGUAGCUCAGUCGGUUAGAGUGUAGGUCUCAUAUCUACGAAUCAAUAGGGUCAUCCUAAGGUCGCGAGUUCGAUCCUCGCCGCGGACA
rnacentral:tRNA from 1 species